rnacentral:sRNA from 1 species
UUCUCAUCUAGCAUCUGUUGUGGUAAGUCUAUCUUUUCAGCUCUGUUCUGCCAGUCCCUGCUUUUCAGUGCUUCUGUAAGUUCCUUUAAUCCUAGGUUUGUUCCACCUCUGAAGUCCUCUGGUGUAUAACGUCCCAUGUCUCAGGAGAAUGCUCCCAAAUGCCUGUGCCCUGUGCUUGGUGGCCUCUUACUGAUUGCUGGAGCAAGACCUUCCCCAUAGAUCCUGGGUGACUGAGACAUGAUUUCCACUGUGGUUCCAGUCUAUGAAACAGGAAACAAGCUGUAUCAAGGAGUCAGCAUCUCCAAAAAGGAAAGGAGAGGAAGUAAGAUUGGGUAAAAAGAAAAGUCCAAUAAUCAACAGACAUGGAGGAGAGUUGGG